rnacentral:lncRNA from 1 species
GGCCCAUCACCAAGGUACUUCAGCACAAGCUUCAUUUUAAAUACAGGACUAUCACUGGCUUCCACAGCAUUGCUGCAGUGCUUCCAGUUGUGGAAAUGCUGAAGCACCUGCCCAGACUGGAGUGUGAAAUACUGAUAAGAGAGGGAGGAAGAAUAAAAGUGCAGCUACAGGAAUUCCAGGUGACAGAAAAGCAACAUUUGGGA